AUUGAACGCUGGCGGCAUGCUUUACACAUGCAAGUCGAACGGCAGCGCGGGCUUCGGCCUGGCGGCGAGUGGCGAACGGGUGAGUAAUGCAUCGGAACGUGCCCAGUAGUGGGGGAUAGCCCGGCGAAAGCCGGCUUAAUACCGCAUACGACCUGAGGGUGAAAGCGGGGGACCGAAAGGCCUCGCGCUAUUGGAGCGGCCGAUGUCGGAUUAGCUAGUUGGUGGGGUAAAGGCUUACCAAGGCGACGAUCCGUAGCUGGUCUGAGAGGACGACCAGCCACACUGGGACUGAGACACGGCCCAGACUCCUACGGGAGGCAGCAGUGGGGAAUUUUGGACAAUGGGGGCAACCCUGAUCCAGCCAUGCCGCGUGCGGGAAGAAGGCCUUCGGGUUGUAAACCGCUUUUGUUCGGGAAGAAAUCCUCUGGGCUAAUACCCCGGGGGGAUGACGGUACCGGAAGAAUAAGCACCGGCUAACUACGUG
rnacentral:rRNA from 1 species